rnacentral:rRNA from 1 species
GACUCGGGGAUAGCCUUUCGAAAGAAAGAUUAAUACCCGAUGGCAUAGUUCUUCCGCAUGGUAGAACUAUUAAAGAAUUUCGGUCAUCGAUGGGGAUGCGUUCCAUUAGCUUGUUGGCGGGGUAACGGCCCACCAAGGCAUCGAUGGAUAGGGGUUCUGAGAGGAAGGUCCCCCACAUUGGAACUGAGACACGGUCCAAACUCCUACGGAAGGCAGCAG